rnacentral:rRNA from 1 species
CGGAGGGUCCAAGCGUUAUCCGGAAUCAGUUGGGUUUAAAGGGUCCGUAGGCGGUUUUGUAAGUCAGUGGUGAAAGCCCAUCGCUCAACGGUGGAACGGCCAUUGAUACUGCAAGACUUGAAUUAUUAGGAAGUAACUAGAAUAUGUAGUGUAGCGGUGAAAUGCUUAGAUAUUACAUGGAAUACCAAUUGCGAAGGCAGGUUACUACUAAUGGAUUGACGCUGAUGGACGAAAGCGUGGGGAGCGAACAGGAUUAGAUACCCUGGUAGUCCACGCCGUAAACGAUGGAUACUAGCUGUUCGGAGCAAUCUGAGUGGCUAAGCGAAAGUGAUAAGUAUCCCACCUGGGGAGUACGUUCGCAAGAAUG